CAAUAGCGUAUAUUUAAGUUGUUGCAGUUAAAAAGCUCGUAGUUGGAUUUCGGAUGGGAUCUGCCGGUCCGUCGUUACGAUGUGCACUGGCCAGUCCUAUCUUGUUGUCGGGGACUAGCUCCUUGGAUUCACUUCCUGGGACUAGGAGCUGACGAGGUUACUUUGAGUAAAUUAGAGUGUUCAAAGCAAGCCUACGCUCUGAAUACAUUAGCAUGGAAUAACACGAUAGGACUCUGGCUUAUCUUGUUGGUCUGUGAGACCAGAGUAAUGAUUAAGAGGGACAGUCGGGGACAUUCGUAUUUCAUUGUCAGAGGUGAAAUUCUUGGAUUUAUGAAAGACGAACUUCUGCGAAAGCAUUUGUCAAGGAUGUUUUCAUUAA
rnacentral:rRNA from 1 species